rnacentral:sRNA from 12 species
GGUCUUUGACAUACUUGAUACAGGCGACAAUAAUAGAUAACUCACGUGGGUGCAAUGCCCACAUAGUGACUAACAACAUAGCUUGCAAGGUCAGACUUAGCGUGCUGACCGCUGAACGGCUCACGACCGAUACCCCGCCCCUCGCAAAGGGCUUGCAAGCAC